rnacentral:lncRNA from 1 species
UGGGAUCUUGUUUAAUAUAUAACUGUCCAAAUGCCCACCCCCUCCCUUAAUCGUCUGUCUCACUUCACCCAUCAUCAGAGACCUUACCCUAAAACUCUAACGCCGCCGGAGUUUCCACCGCCCCAAGCCGGUGGCGCCACCUCUAAAUCAUCCAAAAUUAACACCCCCAGAAUCCUCUCACCUUACUCAUUCCAAAUCCUAUCAUACAUUCCCUCGAAUCCCGUUGAAACUCUUCAAAUCUUAAAUCAAAACUUGAACCCUCAAACCCCAAAAUCUCAAAUCAGCCAGUUUGAUGAAGAUUUGAGGUCGAAUUUGACCUUAUUCGUGUGUUUUCGUUUGAGAACACACGAUUAAGGCCUAUUUCGGCCAAAAUUGAAGGCUUGAGGGGUGAUUUCAAGAUUUGUUCCAACUGUUCUUUAGGUGUUUUCAUCUUUCUUUUUCUUUCCUUCAUUUUUCUUUUUCUUGUUUAGUUUAAGGUUCCAGUCCUCAUUUUCUUGCCUCGUCUCUUCUGGUUGUCUCUAUUGUUUUUAUGUUUGGAUCAUUUUCUCCUUGCAUGCUUUAAUUUAAGUUAAUGGUUCAUACUUAUUUUAAUUUCUUUGUUUUCUUUGGUGUUAUUUCGUCUUUUUUCAAUUUUCAGUAAAAGAGGUUCUGAGUUCCCCUUGGGAAAUCUAUGAUGGGCUUAUUAAAUUUAGGUCACAUGACUUGAAUUUGAAAUCAGAAAUCCUAAAAGGGAAGUUGACCUGGAUUUACAGACCCGUAACACUAUGAAUUGGGUCAAUUUGACCCGUAUCUGUUUGAUUUCAGGGGUAAAAAUAGGAUUCUUAAGAGGUAGUUUAGGAAUUUAGGCUAGGGAAUAUUUGUGUAACUGAUUGAGGGAAGCUUCCUAGAAGUUGUCAUUGGGACUUAAGUGAAAACUGAUUUUUUACACUGAGGUUACUUAAGCAAAAAUGAAAAUUUUAAAAGGUUUUAAUUGCAAAAAUGAGUUUACUUUUGUUGCCCUAGAAGCUUGUCUAUAAAGGCAUCCUUACUUAAGGUGCAAGUCAGAUUUUGAGAAAGAAAAAACCUAAAAAUUGAAACGGCUGAAACUCUAAAACAUCCUUGAUUUCCUGCAUUUCCUUGUUGAAAACUGCUCAAUAUUUUGCUUGAUUUUUGGUUUAUGGUCAUUGCUUAGUUAAAACUACUAAAAAUGACAAAGUCCUG